AACGAACGCUGGCGGCAUGCCUAACACAUGCAAGUCGAACGAGACCUUCGGGUCUAGUGGCGCACGGGUGCGUAACGCGUGGGAACCUGCCCUUAGGUUCGGAAUAACUCCCCGAAAGGGGUGCUAAUACCGGAUAAUGUCUUCGGACCAAAGAUUUAUCGCCUUUGGAUGGGCCCGCGUUGGAUUAGCUAGUUGGUAGGGUAAAAGCCUACCAAGGCGACGAUCCAUAGCUGGCCUGAGAGGAUGAUCAGCCACACUGGGACUGAGACACGGCCCAGACUCCUACGGGAGGCAGCAGUGGGGAAUAUUGGACAAUGGGCGAAAGCCUGAUCCAGCAAUGCCGCGUGAGUGAUGAAGGCCUUAGGGUUGUAAAGCUCUUUUACCCGGGAUGAUAAUGACAGUGCCGGGAGAAUAAGCUCCGGCUAACUCCGUG
rnacentral:rRNA from 1 species